rnacentral:rRNA from 1 species
UACGUAGGGGGCCAGCGUUGCUCGGAAUUACUGGGCGUAAAGGGUCCGUAGGCGGUGUAGCAAGUCGAUAGUGAAAUCUCUGGGCUUAACCCAGAGGCUGCUUUCAAAACUGCCGUGCUCGAGUGCGAGAGAGGCCAGUGGAAUUGCAGGUGUAGCGGUGAAAUGCGUAGAUAUCUGCAGGAACACCCGUGGCGAAGGCGGCUGGCUGGAUCGCAACUGACACUGAGGAACGAAAGCUAGGGGAGCAAACAGG